GAUGAACGCUGGCGGCGUGCCUAAUACAUGCCAGUCGAGCGAACAGACGAGUAGCUUGCUCCUCUGACGUUAGCGGCGGACGGGUGAGUAACACGUGGAUAACCUACCUAUAAGACUGGGAUAACUUCGGGAAACCGGAGCUAAUACCGGAUAAUAUAUUGAACCGCAUGGUUCAAUAGUGAAAGACGGUUUUGCUGUCACUUAUAGAUGGAUCCGCGCCGCAUUAGCUAGUUGGUAAGGUAACGGCUUACCAAGGCGACGAUGCGUAGCCGACCUGCGAGGGUGAUCGGCCACACUGGAACUAAGACACGGUCCAGACUCCUACGGGAGGCAGCAGUAGGGAAUCUUCCGCAAUGGGCGAAAGCCUGACGGAGCAACGCCGCGUGAGUGAUGAAGGUCUUCGGAUCGUAAAACUCUGUUAUUAGGGAAGAACAAAUGUGUAAGUAACUAUGCACGUCUUGACGGUACCUAAUCAGAAAGCCACGGCUAACUACGUG
rnacentral:rRNA from 1 species